GACGAACGCUGGCGGCGUGCUUAACACAUGCAAGUCGAACGGAAAGGCCCUGCUUUUGUGGGGUGCUCGAGUGGCGAACGGGUGAGUAACACGUGAGUAACCUGCCCUUGACUUUGGGAUAACUUCAGGAAACUGGGGCUAAUACCGGAUAGGAGCUCCUGCUGCAUGGUGGGGGCUGGAAAGUUUCGGCGGUUGGGGAUGGACUCGCGGCUUAUCAGCUUGUUGGUGGGGUAGUGGCUUACCCAGGCUUUGACGGGUAGCCGGCCUGAGAGGGUGACCGGCCACAUUGGGACUGCGAUACGGCCCAGACUCCUACGGGAGGCAGCAGUGGGGAAUAUUGCACAAUGGGCGGAAGCCUGAUGCAGCAACGCCGCGUGCGGGAUGACGGCCUUCGGGUUGUAAACCGCUUUCGCCUGUGACGAAGCGUGAGUGACGGUAAUGGGUAAAGAAGCACCGGCUAACUACGUG
rnacentral:rRNA from 1 species